rnacentral:ncRNA from 2 species
CACCCACGCUGAGUCGAUCGCGGUAGAGUGCGGAUGCUGACCUGCAGGGGAAUCCGGUGAGAACCCGGAGCUGACGCGCAACGGUAUGAGGUGUGACCUCCAAGCCCGAAUGCCUGCAGUCGGUUAACCGUCGAC